GCCCGGGUGGUGGAAUUGGUAGACACACAGGACUUAAAAUCCUGAGUCUCGCAAGGGACGUGCCGGUUCGACUCCGGCCCUGGGCACCA
rnacentral:tRNA from 1 species